CUAACCGUAAACGAUGACAACCAGCGAUUAAUCGGCGUUAAUAUAUGACCCGAUUAGCAGCUUCCGGGAAACCAAAGUUUUUCGUUUCCGGGGGAAGUAUGGUUGCAAAGCUGAAACUUAAAGGAAUUGACGGAAGGGCACCACCAGGAGUGGAGCCUGCGGCUUAAUUUGACUCAACACGGGAAAACUCACCCGGCCCGGACACCGUAAGGAUUGACAGACUGAGAGCUCUUUCUUAAUUCGGUGGGUGGUGGUGCAUGGCCGUUCUUAGUUGGUGGAGCGAUUUGUCUGGUUAAUUCCGAUAACGAACGAGACUCUGGCCUAUUAAAUAGACGAUAUAUUUCAAAGUAUAUCGCGCUUCUUAGAGGGACAAGCGGCGUCUAGCCGCAUGAAAUAGAGCAAUAACAGGUCUGUGAUGCCCUUAGAUGUCCGGGGCUGCACGCGCGCUACACUGAAAGAAUCAGAGUGCGUUAUACCUAGUUCGGAAGAACCGGGUAACCCAAGUAAAUUCUUUCGUGCUUGGGAUAGGGAAUUGCAAUUAUUUCCCUUAAACGAGGAAUUCCCAGUAAAUGCGGGUCAUAAGCUCGCGUUG
rnacentral:rRNA from 8 species